rnacentral:rRNA from 1 species
AUUGAACGCUGGCGGAAUGCUUUACACAUGCAAGUCGAACGGUAGAGGGGGCAACCCCUCGAGAGUGGCGAACGGGUGAGUAAUAUAUCGGAACGUGCCCAGUCGAGGGGGAUAACGUAGCGAAAGUUACGCUAAUACCGCAUACGAUCUCAGGAUGAAAGAGGGGGAUCGCAAGACCUCGCGCGAUUGGAGCGGCCGAUAUCAGAUUAGGUAGUUGGUGGGGUAAAGGCUCACCAAGCCAACGAUCUGUAGCUGGUCUGAGAGGACGACCAGCCACACUGGAACUGAGACACGGUCCAGACUCCUACGGGAGGCAGCAGUGGGGAAUUUUGGACAAUGGACGCAAGUCUGAUCCAGCCAUUCCGCGUGCAGGAUGAAGGCCCUCGGGUUGUAAACUGCUUUUGUACGGAACGAAAAGGUCUCUCUUAAUACGGGGGGCUCAUGACGGUACCGUAAGAGUAAGCACCGGCUAACUACGUGCCAGCCGCCGCCGUAA